rnacentral:lncRNA from 1 species
GCAUAUAUGCCGUGAAUUGCACGGCAAGCAUCAAUUCCACUCUUCUCCAAUAAUCCUUUCCUUAUUCCCUUGGUGACUCUCACCAACCCACUUUGUCUUUUCUUUCUCCCUCGACCCUUCUCUUUCACCAUAUGGAGACAACUACCACUUCCGCACCCAACACUCGACGCCGCUCUUUCCGCUGCUCCUUCGUCACACGCUGCUGUCGCUGCUUCUGCUGUUUCUACUCCUUCCCUUAAACUAAACAAAUGCACCUUCUUUUUUUUCAAUCAUCGCUGCUCAACACAUGAAAGCAGAGGAACAACAGUUACAACCUUCGAAGCUUUACCUUUUAGGUUCUCGGUCAAAUCCACGCCAUCAAUGGGGAGUGGGAAAAGCAGAGACAUCUCAAGGUUCUCUACUGCUGCAAAGUUUACGAGUUUAUUUUAAAAUUAGGGUUUUUAACUUUGGAUUUGGGGAUUUUAUUGUUUUUUAGAAUUGUUCUAUUCAAGCUUGGAUUACGAUUAUCUUGUUAGGAUGUUCAGCUUAGAUUGUGGUCUUGACGUAUUGUCUUGUAAUAUUGUUGAUUGAAGAAAUGGCAUAUAUGUUUGACCAAUAUAAGGCCGUGUUUGGUUAACUUUCUCCAUUAACACUCAUAGAAGAAGAAAAUAAGAAGCAAAAUGAAAAGAAAAUAAAAAAGCUUCUCCUGUAAGCGAAAAUUAGCUUAUGCAUUAGUUGAAAUCAGCUUUUCAGAUAAGCUAAAAUUAGCUUCUUUUUUUUUUCACUUUAUAAAACCCGGGAGAAGAUAGUAGUUGUCCUUUUGAGGAGGAGAAGAUAAAUUUUGCUUUAUAUCCAUCAUUGCAAGGGGGUCUUCGCAAUAAUCACACUGCUGUUCCAGCCACUGCUUUAGAACAAGGUAAGGUUCCAAUGUACAAACCAUACAUUCAACAGGUGAAGAAAAGUGCAUUAGCAUCUGCUUUGUUGAAAAGAAAAUGUAGAUUAGCGACAAACGAGACUCACAAUCAUCUGUUGUUGUGCGAUCUAACAAUACUUGGAUUAAUUGGUAAUUUGGUAUUUUUUUAUUCCACAUUUUGUAAUAUGUCUCAAACAUUAUAACAGAAUUUUGAAUGAUUAUGCCGUAUUUCCAUAAUAAAAAUUUAUUAUUUGGUGUGAUGGUGGUGGAAAAUAGUGCAAUUGUAUGAGCAACUUAGAAUUUAUGACUUUGUCUCUAACAAAUUAAAAUUGUAUGAUUCUGUUAUAUAUAGAAAACAAAGGGUUUAUAUGUGUUAAGAGGAAUAACUUAUCCGGUGAUUGUUUGAAUAACUCUGAUUUGGCUUAUUUUCACUUUACCACCUCGUGAUUUAAAAUGAAUUUGCUCCUCUAGUUAGCACAUAAUCCCUGUAGAUUUUUUUCUUCAAUUCUUUUUGCUGAAUAAGCUUAUGAUCAAGUAACCCCGUUGACUAAGGUGGAAAUGUAUUGUGAUUAGUGAUUACACCCUAUAUUAACAUAAUAGUUUAUUUUAUUCCGAGGUAAUAAUGCAUUUUUAGAACUACGAUUUUGGGGUCUUAUUUUCUAAAAUCAGAUAAUUUUUUCCCCUUAUGUAGGUUUCUCCUAAUCUAAUAUUUUUAAUUGAUGUAAAAUAUUUGAAAGAACGACUUAAGCUUUUAAGCAAUUUGACUGAGAUUUUUAAUUUUAGGGAUAGGUUAAGACUAAGAAACUUGGUGGAUUGAGUUUUAUUAAAUAUGUCUUAAAACAGGGGUGGCCUGGAAGAUAUUUGAAGAUUAAGGACAAAAGUUUGGGAGUUGUGAAUACUUCUUAUGACCGGAGAUUUGGUGGCGUAUAAUGUGGGCUGUUGGUCAUUCUUUUUGGGUCCUUGGUUUUUGGCCCAUUCAAGUGAAAACAAAUUAGUCCUAUAGCAGGAAACAAGAAACUUCAGUUAUUGUCUGGUAAUGGAGACAAAUCAACUAAAGACUUGAAGAAAUUAGAAGUUGAAGAAAGAGAGGUUAAAUAGCUUAGGCUUCUUGCAUAAAAAAAUCUAA